rfam:Plasmodium berghei, WGS project CAAI01000000 data, contig: PB_RP2491
UAAAUGAUGAUAAUAUUAUAUUUUUAAAAGAUUUUGAUUAAUAAUCAAAUGUUUAAUAACUCCUCUAAGAAGUUCUGAUUAUUUAU